AGGAUGAACGCUAGCGGCAUGCUUAACACAUGCAAGUCGAACGAGGAUCAGAUAGCUUGCUAACUGGUCCUAGUGGCGGACGGGUGAGUAACGCGUAAGAAUCUGCCCCUAGGAGAGGGAUACCAACUGGAAACGGUUGUUAAUACCUCAUAUGCUGAGGAGUGAAAUGGUUUCAUACCGCCUAGGGAUGAGCUUGCGUCUGAUUAGCUAGUUGGUGGGGUAAUAGCCUACCGAGGCAAUGAUCAGUAGCUGGUCUGAGAGGACAAUCAGCCACACUGGGACUGAGACACGGCCCAGACUCCUACGGGAGGCAGCAGUGAGGAAUUUUCCGCAAUGGGCGAAAGCCUGACGGAGCAAUGCCGCGUGGAGGAAGACGGCCCGUGGGUUGUAAACUCCUUUUCUUGGAGAAGAAUAACUGACGGUAUCCAAGGAAUAAGCAUCGGCUAACUCCGUGCCAGCAGCCGCGGU
rnacentral:rRNA from 1 species